UACGGAGGGUGCAAGCGUUAUCCGGAUUCACUGGGUUUAAAGGGUGCGUAGGUGGGUUGGUAAGUCAGUGGUGAAAUCCCCGAGCUUAACUUGGGAACUGCCAUUGAUACUAUCAGUCUUGAAUACCGUGGAGGUCGGCGGAAUAUGUCAUGUAGCGGUGAAAUGCUUAGAUAUGACAUAGAACACCAAUUGCGAAGGCAGCUGACUGCGCGAGUAUUGACACUGAGGCACGAAAGCGUGGGGAUCAAACAGG
rnacentral:rRNA from 1 species